rnacentral:rRNA from 1 species
AUGGGAUUCCCGGCAAGAUGGAGGGACUGGAUCGCGAUCUUGCUCACGUCCUCGUCCUCUGCCUGUCUGCUAAACGGCAUUGCAGGCCCCAACUUCUUGCAUCACAAAGGACUGCGGCAAGGCGAUCCUCUAUCGCCCAUGUUGUUCAUCUUGGCAAUCGAUCCACUGCAAAGAUUACUC